GAUGAACGCUGGCGGCGUGCUUAACACAUGCAAGUCGAACGGAAAGGCCCAAGCUUGCUUGGGUACUCGAGUGGCGAACGGGUGAGUAACACGUGGGUGAUCUGCCCUGCACUUCGGGAUAAGCCUGGGAAACUGGGUCUAAUACCGGAUAGGACCACAUUUUGGAUGGUGUGGUGGAACGUUUUUCGGUGUGGGAUGAGCUCGCGGCCUAUCAGCUUGUUGGUGGGGUAAUGGCCUACCAAGGCGUCGACGGGUAGCCGGCCUGAGAGGGUGUACGGACACAUUGGGACUGAGAUACGGCCCAGACUCCUACGGGAGGCAGCAGUGGGGAAUAUUGCACAAUGGGAGCAAGCCUGAUGCAGCGACGCCGCGUGGGGGAUGACGGCCUUCGGGUUGUAAACUCCUUUCGCUAGGGACGAAGCGUUAUGUGACGGUACCUUGAGAAGAAGCACCGGCUAACUACGUG
rnacentral:rRNA from 1 species